rnacentral:rRNA from 1 species
UCCUACGGGAGGCAGCAGUGGGGAAUAUUGGACAAUGGGCGAAAGCCUGAUCCAGCCACGCCGCGUGUGUGAUGAAGGCCUUCGGGUCGUAAAGCACUGUGGAGAGGGAAGAAGUCAAUGACGGUACCUCUUUAGCAAGCACCGGCUAACUCCGUGCCAGCAGCCGCGGUAAUACGGAGGGUGCAAACGUUGCUCGGAAUCAUUGGGCGUAAAGCGCACGUAGGCGGCUAGGUAUGUCGGGUGU